rnacentral:rRNA from 1 species
GUAGUCAUAUGCUUGUCUCAAAGAUUAAGCCAUGCAUGUCUAAGUAUAAGCAAUUAUACCGUGAAACUGCGAAUGGCUCAUUAAAUCAGUUAUCGUUUAUUUGAUAGUACCUUACUACUUGGAUAACCGUGGUAAUUCUAGAGCUAAUACAUGCUGAAAACCCCAACUUCGGAAGGGGUGUAUUUAUUAGAUAAAAAACCAAUGCCCUUCGGGGCUCCUUGGUGAUUCAUAAUAACUUCUCAGAUCGCAUGGCCUUGCGCCGGCGACGGUUCAUUCAAAUUUCUGCCCUAUCAACUUUCGAUGGUAAGGUAUUGGCUUACCAUGGUUUCAACGGGUAACGGGGAAUUAGGGUUCGAUUCCGGAGAGGGAGCCUGAGAAACGGCUACCACAUCCAAGGAAGGCAGCAGGCGCGCAAAUUACCCAAUCCCGACACGGGGAGGUAGUGACAAUAAAUACUGAUACAGGGCUCUUUUGGGUCUUGUAAUUGGAAUGAGUACAAUUUAAACCUCUUAACGAGGAACAAUUGGAGGGCAAGUCUGGUGCCAGCAGCC